AGUGUGACGUCGUUUGGGCAUCAAGAGAAACCUUCUAAUUGAAAUAAUUACCUUUCUCUUCAGAAUAGUGCUAGCGCACUUCGCUUCUGUCACAUGUAAACUCUUCUAAUAAACGUUGUAUUUCCUGGUAGGACAUGUGGGUCAUCAUGUCACAGAGAAGCACGACUGGACCCGUGGCUAAUGAGACCAUGGACCACUUGAUGAGAUGACCAGUGAUGAAGAGCUCAUGGUGCCAGGUUCUCCACCACACCAGGCUCAUGUUCAGCAGACUCUGGUUGAAGGAUGUCACCAAGUGUCUGACCUUUAGGCCGGCUCCAUAACUGCAUGCUCACAUAUGCUGGGAAAAGGUGAUUGGAUUAUGAUGCCAUCCAUUCACCGUUUGUUUGAAUUUCCAGCUUUCAAAUGAAUAAUAAACGUUGGCCUUCUCUCCUCCUGUCUAUGAAGCAUGGUACCUUCUCACUGCAUUAGACAACCACCAACCAGAUUACAUCACCCGGAAUAACGAAAAGCUAUCCAAGUAACUAUACAGCAGGAAGUCAUGCUAUUACUGUGUACAAGUGGUAAAGGGUGCCAAAGACCUACAUCCCUGAACUGCAGCGUUGCAUCUUGAGAAAGCAGAUGGAUGGAGGGGCACUCCCAGGAAAGGAGACACGCUACCCUGGUGACCCAGGAAACCCUGCAGGAGCUCUCCACUGCUCACCUGCUUCCCAGAUCCCCACCCCAUCCCCGUGGACCACCUCAGUGAAACCCCCUGUGUCUGGAGACUCGUGCCUGCCACCACCCUCAGACUGGACUACCCUCUUGAGCUCCAUGGCUCCAGAGACCGUAAGGACCCCUCCUCGAGUUAUUCUCCAGCCCCCCCU